GACGUAGGGCGCGAGCGUUGUCCGGAUUUAUUGGGCGUAAAGAGCUCGUAGGCGGCUUGUCGCGUCGAAUGUGAAAACCCACAGCUCAACUGUGGGCUUGCAUCCGAUACGGGCAGGCUAGAGUUCGGUAGGGGAGACUGGAAUUCCUGGUGUAGCGGUGAAAUGCGCAGAUAUCAGGAGGAACACCGGUGGCGAAGGCGGGUCUCUGGGCCGAUACUGACGCUGAGGAGCGAAAGCGUGGGGAGCGAACAGG
rnacentral:rRNA from 1 species